rnacentral:rRNA from 1 species
CCUACGGGGGGCUGCAGUCGAGAAUCUUCGGCAAUGAGCGCAAGCUUGACCGAGCGACGCCGCGUGCGGGAUGAAGGCCUUCGGGUUGUAAACCGCUGUCAGUUGGGAGGAAAUCCGUAGGGGCAAUCCCCUGCGGUUGACCGAUCUUCAGAGGAAGGACGGGCUAAGUUCGUGCCAGCAGCCGCGGUAAGACGAACCGUCCGAACGUUAUUCGGAAUCACUGGGCUUAAAGAGUGCGUAGGCGGCUUGCCAGGCGGGGUGUGAAAUCCCUCGGCCCAACCGAGGAAUGGCGCUCCGAACCGGCAGGCUCGAGGAAGAUAGAGGUGAGCGGAACUGAUGGUGGAGCGGUGAAAUGCGUUGAUAUCAUCAGGAACACCUGUGGCGAAAGCGGCUCACUGGGUCUUUACUGACGCUGAGGCACGAAAGCCAGGGGAGCGAAC